AUGGUGAACCCAAGUAUAAGGAAGCGGCUUGGCACGGAUGUAAUGACUUCCUUUGGGGCUGGCUCAGCUUUCGUGCAGACUGGUGUUGGUGGUUUUGGGUCCGGCGAUCAAAUUGGUGUGAUUCCUAAUGCAAGAACGCUUUUUGGGCCGUUCCCCAGCCCAGAUAGCCUUGACUUGAAUCGCCGCAUCUCUUUGAGGGAGGCUUGUUCCACAAGCAACGGAAAUGGUAAUGUGGCUAGGCGUCUUGAUCUGAAUAUGACAAAUGAUGUUCGGAAUUUCAUAGAUGGGACACCGUUUGUUGGGCCAAUGAACCCUGUCGGGGUGGACACGAACUUGACGAUUGGUCCCUCGCCUGCCAGAUCACCUACUGCUGAUUUGCGUUCCCGCCGUACAUGCCCCCCUCCACUAUCACUAUCGCAAAGCAACUUGCUUGGGUGGUUUGCAGUAGCCCCCCUCCCCCCCCCAAGUAAGCGCACAAGGAUGACAACUGACUAUUCAAUUGCAAACCCGAUUGGAGUGGCUGUCUCUGAGAUGGAGGGCAGGAGAAGAGACGAUCGUUUCUAG
rnacentral:rRNA from 1 species